CAGGAACCAGGCUAUAGGCACCAGGCUUGUGCCUACCAAAAAACCCCUCUUUUUAUAUUUAAAAUGUGAGUCAGAAAAGCAGUGGCUCAGACUCAGCAGCUGAUUGGGGGUUGGGAGUCAGGACUCCUGGGUUCUACUCCCAGCUCUGCCACUGCCUUGCUGUGUUGUUAGCCAAGUCACAACCCCUUUGGGCCUGGGUUUCCCCAUCUGUGGGAAAGGGCUCACCAUACAUACCUGCCUUGCAAAGGAUGUUAUGAGGAUGAAUCAGUUUGUUUAGGUGGCAGUUUGUCACAAAAUGUCCUGAGUACAUACUUUUUAGUCUGGGCUUGGAUUUAGAACACGGUAAUAUGCAAACACAACAGUAAGAGUAAAUAGGAUUUGCAAGUAAUAGACUAAUUGCAAUGAAUGGACUCAGCAGUGAAGGCAAGCUGAGAGCGCUGAACCAGAACUGAUGAGUGAUGGGAGUCAAGCAGUGCUGCAGCACUUCACUCAUUUCCCUCUCGGGCCUUGCUGUAUUCAUGCCCCUCAUGCCCUCCCUUCAUACCUGCAACCAGGAGAACAAGACAGGCAAACCUUAGGUCCUGGUGCAGACGUGACCCUGCUGUUACCCUUGUGAACCUGACAGGAGGGGAUAUUCUUAACAAGACCAACGCAACAAAGACCAAAAAGCCAUGCCUCUGCCUCCCCCGGGCUGUGAAGAUGACAUAACCUGGGGUUGGGAUAGUCUGGCUCUAAGCCCCAGGUGAACACAGUCUAAUGAGGCACCUGUAUUGCCCAGUACUGCUGACUCGCUUGAUGUCUGGAUAAUAGGCUCGCAGAACCACUUAGGAACAUGGCACAUGGACCAAGCAUCUGCUCAGGCCUUCCCUCCCUCGGCAUUACUCCUGGUGACUGGAUCUUAGAGCAAACACCUCCAAUCUACAGAAAUCCAGGUAUGGAGAGGAAGGAUGGAGGAUAUUGUCUGUCUGCUGGCAAAACAGCUACAGACCCAGCCACUCCUGCAGUUAACAGAAGUGGCAAAAUUUGUUUGCUAUUCAGCGGCAUGAGGCCCAACCCCAGCACCAAGGGCAAAUGUUGAAAUGCCUGGGGAGCUGCAGGGAGUCUUGCUGGAUCUGGAGAGGGGAGUUGAGGCAGGCCUGGUCCUGGGUUUGCAAAGCUGUGGUUGGAAGAUGACUUUUAAGGCCUUUGAGUGACCAGUGCUGCCAGAUGGAAAGAGUUGAUGUGAUUGGCACCAUUUCUAAUGGGAGAGGGUCGGGCAGUGUACAGAACCUUGACUGCUGAGCAGUCUGGCUCAUAUCCAGAGGUAAAAGCUGCCAUUUUAAACAGACAGAAACUGACUCUAGAGGCAUAUUGCCGCUGGUUCUGGGUCCAACCAUUUCAUGGGGAGCACACCAGAAUGUAGUGGCCCAGCAGCUGCAGGACCUUACUACCCACUGGUUUUAUCUUGGCCCAGCUAUAUCAGGAGGGAUUGGACCCAAAGACUGGUACAGCUGGGAAGGUAAUGUAACUUAGCAGGGAAGUCUGCAACCCCAAAAGCUUUCUACCAGGCUCCCCUAAGGCUGGAUGGGAGAGAUCUGAGGGAAGGGAUUUCCGUGGCUGAUGAGAUGGGAUGGAGGUUUCUGCCCACACUAGCAGUCUACACUUUCAGAUAGCAGGGUCCUUAUAGGAGCUGAAAGAAAUGUGCUCCUCAAGGGAGAAGGUUUUGAUGCUGGAGCAGGAGGAGGUGAUGAUCUCAGGGGCAGCUCUAG